UUUGUUACUUCAAACCAAUCGGACUUCGGUCUGACAUCAAGUGAUAUUGAACAAUUUAGCUGAUCGCACGGUCUAAGAACCGGCGACAUAUCCUUCAAAUGUCUGCCUUAUCAACUUUCGAUGGUAGAUUAUGCGCCUACCAUGGUUGUAACGGGUAACGGAGAAUCAGGGUUUGAUUCCGGAGAGGGAGCCUGAGAAACGGCUACCACAUCCAAGGAAGGCAGCAGGCACGCAAAUUACCCACUCCCGGCACGGGGAGGUAGCGACGAAAAAUAACAAGCUGGUCUCAAUGAGUUCCAGCAUUGUAAUGGGAACAAUUUAAAUCUUUUAUCGAGGAUCUAUUGGAGGGCAAGUCUGGUGCCAGCRGCCGCGGUAAUUCCAGCUCCAAUAGCGUAUAUUAAAGUUGUUGCGGUUAAAAAGCUCGUAGUUGGAUCUAGGAUUAGGGCUACGGUCGUUCAGCUUGGACGUACUGUAUGCCCGACUCCUUUUCUCUAGUAUUCGAUUGUUGCUCUUAAAUGAGUGACUUUAGUUGCUGGAACUUUUACCUUGAAAAAAUUGAAGUGCUCAAAGCAGGUU
rnacentral:rRNA from 1 species